rnacentral:rRNA from 1 species
GACAUAGGUGGCGAACGUUAUCCGGAUUUAUUGGGCGUAAAGGAUGCGUAGAUGGUGGAAUAAGUUAUUGGUCAAAGUCAAGCUCAACUUGGCGGAAGCUGGUAAUACUAUUCUACUCGAGGAUAGGAGAGGUUGGCGGAAUUCUGUGUGGAGGCGGUGAAAUGCGUUGAUCUACAGAGGAACACCAAAAAGGCGAAGGCAGCCAACUAUUCUAUUCCGUGACAU